AAGUCGUAACAAGGUUUCCGUAGGUGAACCUGCGGAAGGAUCAUUACCUAGAGUUGCGGGCUUUGCCUGCCAUCUCUUACCCAUGUCUUUUGAGUACCUUACGUUUCCUCGGCGGGUCCGCCCUGCCGACUGGGACAAUUUAAACCACUUGCAGUUCGCAAUCCAGACGUCUGAAAAACUUAAUAGUUCAAC
rnacentral:misc_RNA from 1 species